CACAGCCCUAAACAAAGGGGCAAGGCUUGGGGCUAAAAACAGGAGGACCUGUUGAAAGCCCAUAAAUGGAGCAGCUGAACCUCCAUAGCCCUUCCUGACCUCACAGUGCCUCCUUCCCUGCACCCACAUGGAAUGGGGACACAGGACAUUUCACUAUCUCUAACACUUUCUUUUAAGUAUAUCUGAAUUAUUUUCUUUAUUCUUAGAACGUUUUCUGCAGGCAGGCAGGAUAAAACAGCUUCACUUUUAACUCAUUCCAAAUUUUAACUUCAGGAUUGAGGUAUCUUAAAAUCAAGCUGCCCCGGCUGUCACAUCAAGAUUCUGACACUUAAUAGCUAUGGAGCUCUGAGACUGCUUUCUCAUUUUUACAAUGCAAAUAAUGUUAUGAGAAACUUGCAGGGUUUGUUGAGAGGCAUAAAGAAGAAAAUCCAUGUACAACCAUUUACCCCGGUGCCCGCUGAACUACCCUGACAGGGAACGGGGUGAGAAGGCCAUCAGUUUGCAGCCAUCAAGGUAAUAGUUGACACAGUUGGGGAAUAUGCUGAAUGCUAAUUUAGCAAGAGGCAAGAGGAAGCUGCUUGGAUUACAGGACAUGACGACUGGGACUGGGGCAGACAAGAAGAGUGAGCUCCUUUCAGGACAAUCCGGAGAACUGUGACAGCAAUGUUAAGGCUUCUCUUCCCUCCCUGGAGGAGUUGAGAAAUGAUUGUGGUCCCCGGCCUCUUCAUUUGUGCCAACAAGACAACCCAUGUGGAAGUGAUAAAAAGGAUUUCAACAUCCCUACCCAGAAGCCUUCCAGUAAAGAACAAAACCAGGGGUGACAUAUCUUUAUCAAUAACUGCCAGCUCGAAAGCUGUUCUGUCCUGGGCAAAUAUAUUAAUGUGUGUGCUUGCUGAGACUGCUUAGUGAAUUCGAGCCUCUGGAAAUUAGAAGUGCCGGUGAGGGGGAACAGUAUCAUGUGGAAGGCUGGCAAAACCUCGUGGCCCCUGCUGCCUGCUGCAGUUUUAUUGUUCUUAUAAUUGAAACAAUAAAUAAUAUGUCACGACCUUGAGGUGUCCACUGUGUCA